UCAGUGACCAGCUACAUCGGAAACAUGUAGCUGGUCCAAUGUUGUUUUGAGUGAACCCUUGGUAUCUCUAACUGACCUGAUCCUAAUGAUCUGAGUAGUCUGCUUGGUUUAUAUUCAGUUAGCAUAUCUGUAAUGUAUUUCGGUCCUAAGCCAUGAAGUGAUUUAUAAACGAGUAACAAUACUUUAAAAUCUAUUAUAAAUGUAACUGGAAGCCAGUGUAAGGACCUGAGGACUGGAGUGAUGUGCUCAGAUUUUUUGGUUCUGGUCAGAAUUCUGGCAGCAGCGUUCUGUAUGAGCUGCAGCUGUCUAAUGGUCUUUUUUGGGGAUCCCAGUAAGGAGUCCAUUGCAAUAAUCCACCCUGCUGUCUUGAGACAAAACAUCUAAUUCUGGCUGUAUUUCUGAGAUGGUAGUAAGCUGAUUUGCUUAUCGCUUUCACAUGAUUACUGAAAUUAAGGUCAGUCUCUAAAAUUACACCAAGAUUUCUGACUUUAUUUUGUGUCUUUAGACCACUAGAGUCAAGGUGUGUGUUAACCUUGAGAGUUUCAUCUUUAUUUCCGAAUACAAUGACUUCGGUUUUGUCUUUGUUUAACUGGAGGAAGUUUUGAUGCAUCCAACUGUUAAUUUCAUCAAUGCACUUACAUAGAGAGUCAAUGGGGCUGUAGUCAUUAGGGGACAGGGCUAAGUAUAUCUGGGUGUCAUCUGCAUAGCUGUGGUAAGCAAUUUGGUUCUUUUUCAUUAUUUGACCAAUUGGGAGCAUAUACAAAUUAAAGAGAAGCAGUGCAAGAAUUGAGCCAUGUGGGACUCCACAUGUCAUGGAUGUCCACUCAGAUUUAUGGUUACCUAUGUUCACAUAGUAACCUCUCCCUUUUAGGUAUGAUUUAAACCAUUUGAGGACCAUCCCAGAAAGCCCUACCCAGUUUUCCAGUCUAUGUAAGAGUAUGGUGUGAUCUACCGUGUCAAAGGCAGCACUAAGAUCUAGUAGCACCAGCACUGAUAUUUUACCUGAAUCAGAGUUUAAGCGAAUAUCAUUUAUUAUCUUUAAGAGCACUGUCUCUGUGCUGUGAUGCUGGCGGAAACCAGAUUGAAAAUUGUCCAGAUAGCCAUUUGAGUUUAAGAAUUUGUUCAGCUGAUUGAAAACAACCUUUUCAAUGAUCUUGCCUAUAAAAGGAAGAUUUGAGAUUGGUCUGUAGUUGUUAAGUAUGGUUUUGUCUAGGUUACUCUUUUUUAGGAGAGGCUUAACAACUGCCGUUUUUAGGGACUCUGGAAAAGUGCCUGUGAGCAGAGAGGUAUUUACUAUUUUUAAGAGGUCAGUUUCUAAGCAGUUAAGUACCUUUUUUGAGAAAGGAUGUGGGGAGGGUGUCAAGGCUGCAAGUUGAUGCUUUAAGAUGUUGUACUGUUUCUUCCAAGGUUUUUAUAUCAAUUAUGUCAAAUUCUGAGAAAAUGACAAAUUUCUGAGGUUGUUGUAAUGAGGUCUGACUGACCACAUUACAAUAUGAGGCCGUAUUUAUUGCCAUUCUGAUAUUACUGAUUUUCUCAGAGAAAAAGGUUGCAAACUCAUUGCAUUUGUUGUCAGAGAGCAUUUCACUAGGAACUUGAUUUGGGGGGUUUGUUAGUCUCUCUACAGUAGCAAAAAGAGUGCGAGUGUUGUUUAUGUUGUUGUUUAUAAUGUUUGAGAAGAAGAUCUGUCUAGCUGUGCCUAGUUCUACAUUGAAAGCACGAGGACUGUCCUUAUAGAUGCUAUAAUGUACUUCAAGUUUUGUUUUCCGCCACAUACGUUUAGCUUUUCUGCAUGUUCUUUUCGUGCUCUGUACAGCUGUUGUUUUUCUCCAAGGUGCUUUACGUCUGCCAGUGAUCAUCCUGACCUUUACUGGAGCUAUACCAUCAAUAGCAUCUUUAACUUUUAAUUUAAAAUUUUCAAGGAGAACAUCAACAGAGUCUGCCGAUAUGUUUGGCAACAUUGAUAUAGCAUUCAUAAAUACCUCACUGGUGUUUUCAUUUAUGAACCUUUUUUUGACAUAGACAGAUCUAUCAUCAGUGGCAGGACAGAUCAAUAAAUCAAAGUAAACACAGAAAUGGUCAGAUAGCGCUUCAUCCUUGAUAACAGUGGAUGAAAUGUUUAGACCCUUACUAAUGAGCAGAUCAAGAGUGUGUCCCCUAUUGUGUGUAGGACCUUGCACGUGCUGGGUCAGAUCAAAAGUGUUUAAAACAUUUAAAAGUUCAAUUGCAGUAUUGUUUUCUGCAUUGUCUAUAUGAAUGUUGAAAUCUCCAGCAAUAACAAAAUAAUCAAAUUCAGAGGAGAUUGUUGAUAAAAGUUCUGUGAAUUCAUCAACAAAUGUUGGGGUGUAUUUGGGAAGCCUAUAAAUAACUGUAAACAGAAUGCGUGGUGUACCUUUUAGAGCAAUACACAAAUAUUCAAAAGACUGGUAAUCACCAAGUAACACUUGCUUGCAUUGAAACGCAUCUUUGAAUAAAGCAGCUAUUCCUCCACCUCUUCUAACAGCUCUACAGACACUUAUAAAAGUAAAGUUGGGUGGGGCUGAUUCAUUGAGGACUGUAGCGCUGCAGCUGUCAUCUAACCAGGUUUCAUUUAGAAACAUGAAGUCCAGGUUGUUAGUGGUGAUAAGAUCAUUAACUAAAAAUGAUUUGUUCUUUAAUGAACGGAUGUUCAGAAGUGCUAAUUUAACAGUAACUGGUUUUGGCCCUGUAUCCAUCUCAGAAUGACGUCUAAUAGGCAGUAGAUUAGAUAGAAUUGUCGUGCGGCUGGAGAGGGCCUUCACAUAUCAGGACAGAGAUAGGGAAAGCUAAAGGGACAUUGGGCUCCCGCGUGUUCUGAAAACAUUUCUGAUUGUUACUGCUGUCAUAGCGGGGACCCAACACAUAUCAGUUACCAGUGCUGUUUGCAGAUGAGGGCUGGUGUGAUCCCUGACGUUGAGGCAGAGGUCGGAGUGCUCUCUCAGAUGGAGGGGGAGGGCAGGCUGGGCCCGGAGGCUUUGGUGGUUGUGGAGCCCGCCGUUUCUUGGUUGAUAUUUGGGGACUCGCAGCAAUAGAAGUUCCAGCAGAUACCAGUUUCUCCAUUUUCUCUGAAAAGCACAGAAGUGGUGAUGUUGGAGAGAAGGAGAGAGAGUGUGACAACAUCAGCUGUGAUUCUGGUGUUCCUGGAGGCUGGGGAGUGUUAUCUUGUUUUUCCUGGUUGUUAUCCACAGAAACGUCCUUGGGUGUUGAUUCACCAUCCAGCUGUAGUGAGGACUGUGGGCAGUUUAAAAUAUUAACAUUUUAAACUACAGAAAGAACAAAAUGGAGUAGAUAAAUUCAACUCAUGCGGUAUAUUUAAACAUUGUCCAUUGUUAGAGUGAGAACAAAGUAAAAUAGAAACAUUUAAACUACAAAAUGGAUAAGCCUGAUAUAACUCAUAUGGUUUAAUUAAACACUGUCCAGUUUAUGACUGAAGAGAAAAAAAGAAAGAGAAUCAUUUAAACUUCAAAAAGAACAACAUGGAGUAGUCUGAUACAAAAAAGUACAGGAAUAAAAUGACUGUCAGAGUAUUCCUUUGGCCUCUUCCUACUUUAAUUAGGUAAGGCAAGUUUUUCUUUAUAAAGAUGAGUUUUUCAGCAUUUUGUGAAGACAGUCUAUUCCUCUUUUCAUCCAAAAUGUGUGCCGCUGUACUGAAUAGCCGCUCACUAUCAACACUUGUCGAUGGAGCACUAAGAUAGACUCGUGCUACCUCUGCCAAAGCUGGGAACCGGCCUUUGUUCCUCUUCCAGAAGUCCAGGGGAUCUGAGGACCUUGAGAUAACAGGCUCAGAGAGGUACAGAUUAAUCUCCGCUGCUGCUGAAUCAGUUUUGUUGUAAGCAUCACUGUAACUGGUGGUGUUGAUAAUUUCAUUGUGCAUCUGCUGCAGAGAACUAGAUGGAGGAGCUUCUGGUUUAGCCACAGUUUCUUCAGUUCCAAUCUUCUGAAGUCCCUCCCUCACUGGUGCAUCCAGUGCUUCACUGAGCAGUUUGUGCCUCUGGUUUGAUCUGAUCAUCAAAAUAUCUAUCCUUGUACCUUGUUUUGAGAGAGAGAAAAUAACUAUCAUUGCUAAAUUUCAAUUAUAUUAGCCUAAAAAUUAUAAAAUACUAUUUUUAAUUUAAUACUUUCACACAAUACAAACACAUUUGCCACAAACAAAGCCUUUUUUACUUGACAUGUUCAAUACCAUAAGUAUAUGUCUAAGUCUUAGUCAACAAUCAGGGUAUACCCUGCCUGUGUAAACCCAGCUAAAGUCAUUCAUGUACUGUUUUCUACAUAAAAUCAUUCUAUAUAACUACAUAAUGUAAUUUAAUGUUAAAAUGUGAAAUAUAAACUUGAUAUA